rnacentral:rRNA from 1 species
UACGUAGGGUCCGAGCGUUGUCCGGAAUUAUUGGGCGUAAAGGGCUCGUAGGCGGUCUGUUGCGUCGGGAGUGAAAACUUACAGCUUAACUGUGAGCGUGCUUCCGAUACGGGCGGACUUGAGGUAUUCAGGGGAGAACGGAAUUCCUGGUGUAGCGGUGAAAUGCGCAGAUAUCAGGAGGAACACCGGUGGCGAAGGCGGUUCUCUGGGAAUAUCCUGACGCUGAGGAGCGAAAGUGUGGGGAGCGAACAGG